ACACACACACACACACACACACAGCUCUCAACUCAAACUGAAUUGCAUUGAUUAGCUUGGAUAGCUCUGGCAAUGUCGAAGAGGGACUUACUAAUCAUUACAUGCAAAGCGGCGGUGUGUUGGGGAAAUGGGGAACCGGUGAAGGUGGAAGAGAUACAAGUAGAGCCACCAAAAUCAUCUGAAGUUCGCGUCAAGAUCCUAUGUGCUAGUGUGUGUCACACAGACAUCAUAUUCAUGAAAGGGUUCCCAAUUCCUCUUUUCCCUCGGGUUCUAGGACACGAAGGUGUUGGU